GAACUGAAGAGUUUGAUCAUGGCUCAGAUUGAACGCUGGCGGCAGGCCUAACACAUGCAAGUCGAGCGGAU
rnacentral:ncRNA from 2 species